rnacentral:rRNA from 1 species
CCCUUAGAUGUUCUGGGCCGCACGCGCGCUGCACUGAUGCAUUCAACGAGUUUCUUCCUGGUCCGAGAGGAAUGGGUAACCUUUUGAAAGUGCAUCGUGAUAGGGAUAGACUAUUGCAAUUAUUGGUCUUCAACGAGGAAUUCCUAGUAGACGUAGUUCAUCAGACUGCAUCGAUUACGUCCCCGCCCUUUGUACACACCGCCCGUCGCUCCUACCGAUUGAAUGCUCAGGUGAGCCAUUCGGACUUUCAUCAUGCUGGUUUCCAGUUUUGAUGAAGGAAAGUCUUGCGAACCUUAUCAUUUAGAGGAAGGAGAAGUCGUAACA